rnacentral:rRNA from 1 species
UACGUAGGGGGGCAAGCGUUUGUCCGGAAUCAUUGGGCGUAAAGCGCGUGUAGGCGGCUCGAUAAGUCUGCUGUGAAAGUUCAGGGCUCAACCCUGAAAUGCCGGUGGAAACUGUCGGGCUAGAGUCCGGAAGAGGCGAGUGGAAUUCCUGGUGUAGCGGUGAAAUGCGCAGAUAUCAGGAGGAACACCAAUGGCGAAGGCAGCUCGCUGGGACGGUACUGACGCUGAGACGCGAAAGCGUGGGGAGCAAACAGG